rnacentral:rRNA from 1 species
CAAACGGGUGCGGAACACGUACAGAACCUUCCUUUAAGCGGGGGAUAGCCCGGAGAAAUCCGGAUUAAUACCCCAUAUUAUUAUUUGGUGGCAUCACCGGGUAAUUAAAGAUUUAUCACUUAGAGAUGGCUGUGCGGCUGAUUAGGUAGUUGGUGUGGGUAACGGCUCACCAAGCCUUCGAUCAGUAACUGGUGUGAGAGCACGACCAGUCACACGGGCACUGAGACACGGGCCCG